GGAGCUUGCUCCGCUGACGAGUGGCGAACGGGUGAGUAAUGCAUCGGAACGUGCCGUGUAGUGGGGGAUAACGUAGCGAAAGUUACGCUAAUACCGCAUACGCCCCGAGGGGGAAAGUGGGGGACCGCAAGGCCUCACGCUAUACGAGCGGCCGAUGUCGGAUUAGCUAGUUGGUAGGGUAAAGGCCUACCAAGGCGACGAUCCGUAGCGGGUCUGAGAGGAUGAUCCGCCACACUGGGACUGAGACACGGCCCAGACUCCUACGGGAGGCAGCAGUGGGGAAUUUUGGACAAUGGGCGCAAGCCUGAUCCAGCCAUGCCGCGUGAGUGAAGAAGGCCUUCGGGUUGUAAAGCUCUUUCAGACGGAAAGAAAUCGGUGCGUUUAAUACAUGCACUGGAUGACGGUACCGUAAGAAGAAGCACCGGCUAACUACGUGCCAGCAGCCGCGGUAAUACGUAGGGUGCGAGCGUUAAUCGGAAUUACUGG
rnacentral:rRNA from 1 species